rnacentral:rRNA from 1 species
UGGAGAGUUUGAUCCUGGCUCAGGACGAACGCUGGCGGCGUGCUUAAUACAUGCAAGUCGAACGGGGUCCAACCGGUGGCAACACCGGGGAAGACCUAGUGGCGAACGGGUGAGUAACACGUGAGCAACCUGCCCCGAAGACCGGGAUAACACCGGGAAACUGGUGCUAAUACUGGAUACCCCCACCGGGCCGCAUGACCUGGUGAGGAAAUGAAUUUCGCUUCGGGAGGGGCUCGCGGGCUAUCAGCUUGUUGGUGAGGUAACGGCUCACCAAGGCAGCGACGGCUAGCUGGUCUGAGAGGACGACCAGCCACACUGGGACUGAGACACGGCCCAGACUCCUACGGGAG